AAGUCGUAACAAGGUUUCCGUAGGUGAACCUGCGGAAGGAUCAUUAACACGUAUCCAACGUUAAAAACCCCGUGCACCUUAAUCCUGCUCUCCUCACCUUGAUAAGCAAUCUCUGGUAAAUCACGCAACAGUUUGAUUCAGAGACCUCUUUGAAACGUGUGGAUUGAGCGGUAGAGCAAAUAGAUCUGGCUUCUGAAGCACCCAAAACGAGUGAAAGUGCGUAUUGAGUGUGGAAGAUAACUGAUACUUACUCAGAUCGUUGACCCUCACGGUCAACGGGCAGGUCUCUGGGGCUUCGGCUCCCCAUAUUAAACCCGUAUGUGAAAGUCGGGCUUGCAAACAACAGGCCCACAAAACGAACAACUGUUAACAAUGGAUAUCUUGGUUCUC
rnacentral:misc_RNA from 1 species